UUUCACCAGGAGAUGGGGUUGCGGCCUAUGACACUUCUGAGCUGUCUCUGCUUUGCUCUCAGGAUGUCUUGUCUGCUUUCUGAGAGGAUAUGAAAAUGAUGGACCUGAGCUGGAACAGUUCAUUCUCCAGAGUGCUUGCUCAGAUGUGAAUGGGCAUGACAAUGGACUCUGCUUGUGGAAUCUGACUGUCCAUGAUCCUGAGAAGGUUACUCUGAGCAAGAAACCUGCCUGCCAUGAGGAAUACAUGAGAUAGUGCAGGUAACACAGCUGGUUCACAGUGGGCAUGCUCAUCGACUUCAACUAUUGUUGACAUGAUUAUGACAACAAUAAGACUUACUUGGCUUUAUAUAUAUUUACAUGCAAAUAAACAUCCUGGGAGUAUGUUUUUCUAAGCUAAU
rnacentral:lncRNA from 1 species